rnacentral:rRNA from 1 species
GAUGAACGCUGGCGGCGUGCCUAAUACAUGCAAGUCAAGCGAACAGAUGAGGAGCUUGCUCCUCUGACGUUAGCGGCGGACGGGUGAGUAACACGUGGAUAACCUACCUAUAAGACUGGGAUAACUUCGGGAAACCGGAGCUAAUACCGGAUAAUAUAUUGAACCGCAUGGUUCAAUAGUGAAAGACGGUUUUGCUGUCACUUAUAGAUGGAUCCGCGCCGCAUUAGCUAGUUGGUAAGGUAACGGCUUACCAAGGCAACGAUGCGUAGCCGACCUGAGAGGGUGAUCGGCCACACUGGAACUGAGACACGGUCCAGACUCCUACGGGAGGCAGCAGUAGGGAAUCUUCCGCAAUGGGCGAAAGCCUGACGGAGCAACGCCGCGUGAGUGAUGAAGGUCUUCGGAUCGUAAAACUCUGUUAUUAGGGAAGAACAAAUGCGUAAGUAACUAUGCACGUCUUGACGGUACCUAAUCAGAAAGCCACGGCUAACUACGUG